CCACGUGCUGGCCCAAACAUGGUGGCUGGCAGUUGGGGCCUGCAGCCAUUUCUGGGAGGCAGUGGCAAGAAUGUAGCAAGAGGGUCAGUGGGGGCAGGGGGUUCUGAAGCACCCUGUAGCUGCCUGGGGUGGAGCUGUUCUGGUGUGGACAGCAGCAGAGGAGGAGCAAAAGCACGCUGACACCCCAUAGUCAGCCAGGGGAGAGGCAGUCAUUAAAACCAGUGGAUUUUCUGCAUUGUAUGGGCUGUCCUUUCCCAUCCCUCAUCUCUGGGCCUGGAGCGUGAGAAGGUGGCAUCUCUUCUGCCCUGAUGCCGAAGGAGAGGGGUGUGGAGGAGAGGGCCUGGCAUCCUCUGGGUGGCCGCACUGGGACUGCAGGGGGUGCGUUGGAGGGCGUGUGAGGUCCUUGGGGCCUGGUGCUGGGGUUUUGCAUCCAGUGGGUGUGAAGGCUGAAUCGGGGUUGUUGUCCUCAUCCUGUUCUCUCCUUCGCUGUGGAAUGUGUGCUUGUAGGUGAAGCCAGGCCCUUCAUGGCUGUGCGCGAAGAACAGUUGGCUGUCAGUCAUCCCUUCUGAGAAGUAGUUUGGAUGGUUGUCAUUUCUGCCGUCUCUGGCAUAGCACUCUUGAGAAGAGAGCUUAUGGCAGGGGCACAGAUGUGUAGGUGGCUGUUCCCCGUCAGUUGACCCCAAUGCACCUCAAACAGCAUGAGAGUGCUCAUGCUCUACCAUCAGGUGAAGAGGUGAGGGAGGUUUUUGUUUCCUGUGCUGUGACUAAACUGCCAACGGUGUGCCUACCGCAUGUACAGACUGUGGCUGAACUAAGACCAAAGCCAGUUCUAUUCACAUGUCAGGUCCUGGCUUGCUGUGCCUAUGCUAACAUGGAACCCGGUGAUCCCAGUUUGCCCCUUUCUCCUGGAUGUUUGCAUCAUUUUGCUUUCAUGCUUACUAUCUAGAUGGUAGGGGGAAGUGGCAACUAUUAAGCUGCCCAGUUGGCUUACAUGGGCAAUUCCUCCCCUCUCAGCCAAUUCCUAGAUUUUUUCC
rnacentral:lncRNA from 1 species